UUGCGUGGUCCGUGGAAGAGGGAGGGCAGGAAUGCCCGCCGGUCUGUCAUUCGUUGGACUCUUUUGCGGCAGAGAAGUGGCUGGCGGCAGCCUGCUGAGCGGCAUCUUGCUGAGCAGUUUGGCAUCUUGGAGUGGCAGCAGCUAUUGUCCGGUUUAGUGGCCUCAGCUUUAGUGCAAGGAGAAGGUGGUGCAGGAUUUCCCCUCCAAGGAAGGGAAUACAACCCAGGAGAGUAUCCCUGCUCUGCAACCUUUCAUCCAGCUCCAGGGCUGUAGUGAAGCCAGUCCUUCUCCCAGCUGGGCAGAAAGGACAUGAAUGAAGUCAGAGUAAUGAGAAAACAAAAAGGAUGGGCAAGCAUGGGAGAUGUGGUCCUGACACGUCAGGAGAAGGAUAUAGCUCUUCCCCAAGUCAGCAACAUAGAGGAGAAAGAAGGAGGGACUUCUGGAGUCCUGGAUGCCAGGUUUCUGGAUGUAGCUGUGGAGUUCACCUGGGAAGAGUGGAGACACCUGGAUCCUGCACAGAGGGCCCUGCACACGAAUGUGAUGUUGGAGAACUAUGAGAACCUGGUCUCCAUAGGUAAGCAGAACCAGCCCCUGUGA
rnacentral:lncRNA from 1 species